rnacentral:rRNA from 1 species
CCUACGGGCGGCUGCAGUAGGGAAUAUUGGACAAUGGGCGAAAGCCUGAUCCAGCCAUGCCGCGUGAUAGAUGAAGGCCCUCUGGGUUGUAAAUAUCUUUUAUCUGGGAAGAAACAAUCUUAUUCUUAAGAUCUUGACGGUACCAGAGGAAUAAGCACCGGCUAACUCCGUGCCAGCAGCCGCGGUAAUACGGAGGGUGCAAGCGUUAUCCGGAUUCACUGGGGUUUAGGGGUGCUGAGAAGUCAUUAGUGAAAGUUCCGAGCUUAACUUGGAAACUGCCAUUGAUACUGCCAAUCUUGAAUGUCGUAGAGGUAAGCGGAAUGUUGCAUGUAGCGGUGAAAUGCUUAGAUAUGUUACAGAACACCAAUUGCGAAGGCAGCUUACUAUGCGAUGAUUGACGCUGAGGCACGAAAGCGUGGGGAGCAAACAGGAUUAGAUACCCGGGUAGUC